UAGCUCGGUACUCGCGAAUGCUCUAGAUUAGAGUUUGGAUCAUGGCUCAGGUUGAACGCUGGCGGCAGGCUUAACACAUGCAAGUCGAGCGGGGAAGGGUAGCUUGCUACCUGACCUAGCGGCGGACGGGUGAGUAAUGCUUAGGAACCUGCCUAUUAGUGGGGGACAACAUCUCGAAAGGGAUGCUAAUACCGCAUACGUCCUACGGGAGAAAGCAGGGGAUCUUCGGACCUUGCGCUAAUAGAUGAGCCUAAGUCGGAUUAGCUAGUUGGUGGGGUAAAGGCCUACCAAGGCGACGAUCCGUAACUGGUCUGAGAGGAUGAU
rnacentral:rRNA from 1 species